rnacentral:misc_RNA from 1 species
CAUCUUCUUCAAGCAUAUGCCAUUCGAUCCACACAUCAAUAAGGGUAGAGGCAGGAAUUUUUUGGUCUUCAGGAAAGGAACCUAGGUCCAUGUAACACUCCUUGGCUGAAGUAUUAUUCUUCAAGGCAUCAACGCUGCUUUGAAGACAAUGAAGCAGCUCAAACUCAAAGUUAGCAAGAACAGAAGAAGCUUUAGAGCAUUCCUUAAUUCUCUUCCUCCAUUCUGCUGCAGACUUCCCACAUAGUGAUUUGCCAACCACUGAAAUGGCUAGUGGGAAUCCCAUACAGACUUCCACUAUCCUUAAUAUUAGCAUCUUGACAAAGUGCUGUAGCCAAUGUGGUCUUUCCACAUCCUCCAGGAGCAGAUACUACAAUCACUUGUGAGACCUCAUCA